rnacentral:tRNA from 1 species
GCCCACGUAGCUCAGACGGUAGAGCACGUUCUUGGUAAGGACGUGGUCAUGGGUUCAAAUCCCAUCGUGGGCUCCA